rnacentral:rRNA from 1 species
UACGGAAGGCAGCAGUGGGGAAUAUUGCACAAUGGGCGCAAGCCUGAUGCAGCCAUGCCGCGUGUAUGAAGAAGGCCUUCGGGUUGUAAAGUACUUUCAGUCGUGAGGAAGGUGUUAAGGUUAAUAACCUUAGCAAUUGACGUUAGCGACAGAAGAAGCACCGGCUAACUCCGUGCCAGCAGCCGCGGUAAUACGGAGGAUGCGAGCGUUAAUCGGAAUUACUGGGCGUAAAGGGCACGCAGGCGGUUAAUUAAGUUGGAUGUGAAAUCCCCGGGCUUAACCUGGGAAUGGCAUUCAAGACUGGUUAGCUAGAGUCUUGUAGAGGGGGUAGAAUUCCAUGUGUAGCGGUGAAAUGCGUAGAGAUGUGGAGGAAUACCGGUGGCGAAGGCGGCCCCUGGGACAAAGACUGACGCUCAUGUGCGAAAGCGUGGGGAGCGAAACAGGGAUUAGGAUACC